rnacentral:rRNA from 1 species
AGUGAACGCUGGCGGUAGGCCUAACACAUGCAAGUCGAACGGCAGCACAGUAAGAGCUUGCUCUUACGGGUGGCGAGUGGCGGACGGGUGAGGAAUACAUCGGAAUCUACUUUUUCGUGGGGGAUAACGUAGGGAAACUUACGCUAAUACCGCAUACGACCUACGGGUGAAAGCAGGGGAUCUUCGGUCCUUGCGCGAUUGAAUGAGCCGAUGUCGGAUUAGCUAGUUGGCGGGGUAAAGGCCCACCAAGGCGACGAUCCGUAGCUGGUCUGAGAGGAUGAUCAGCCACACUGGAACUGAGACACGGUCCAGACUCCUACGGGAGGCAGCAGUGGGGAAUAUUGGACAAUGGGCGCAAGCCUGAUCCAGCCAUACCGCGUGGGUGAAGAAGGCCUUCGGGUUGUAAAGCCCUUUUGUUGGGAAAGAAAAGCAGCAGGUUAAUACCCCGCUGUUCCGACGGUACCCAAAGAAUAAGCACCGGCUAACUUCGUG